ACGGCUCAGUAACACGUGGAUAACAUGCCCUAAGGUGGGGGAUAAACUCGGGAAACUGAGGAUAAUACCCCAUAGGUCUGAUCUGCUGGAAUGCUUUCAGGCCGAAAACUCCGGUGCCUUAGGAUUGGUCUGCGGUCUAUCAGGCUGUAGUGGGUGUAACGGACCCACUAGCCCGUGACGGAUAUGGGCCUUGAGAGAGGGAGCCCAGAGAUGGACUCUGAGACAUGAGUCCAGGCCCUACGGGGCGCAGCAGUCGCGAAAACUUCGCAAUGGGGGCAACCCCGACGAGGGAAUUCCAAGUGCCAGCACUUUGUGUUGGCUGUUCUCCUGUCUAAAAAACAGGAGGAGUAAGGGGCGGGUAAGACGGGUGCCAGCCGCCGCGGUAAUACCCGCGCCCCUAGUGGUGGUCGAUAUUAUUGAGCCUAAAACGUCCGUAGCCGGUCUUUUAAAUCCUUGGGUAAAUCGGACAGCUUAACUGUCCGAAGUCCGGGGAGACUGGAAGACUUGGGACCGGGAGAGGUCAGAGGUACUUCUGGGGUAGGGGUAAAAUCCUGUAAUCCUGGAAGGACCACCGGUGGCGAAGGCGUCUGACUAGAACGGAUCCGACGGUGAGGGACGAAGCCCUGGGGCGCAAACGGGAUUAGAUACCCCGGUAGUCCAGGGUGUAAACGCUGCGGGCUUGGUGUUGGGGGUCCUUAGUGGGCGCCCAGUGCCGGAGAGAAGUUGUUAAGCCUGCUGCUUGGGGAGUAUGUCCGCAAGGAUGAAACUUAAAGGAAUUGGCGGGGGAGCAC
rnacentral:rRNA from 1 species